rnacentral:rRNA from 1 species
UGUUUCGGCUAGGGGGCCAUCCCGGCUUACCAACCCGAUGCAAACUGCGAAUACCGGAGAAUGUUAUCACGGGAGACACACGGCGGGUGCUAACGUCCGUCGUGAAGAGGGAAACAACCCAGACCGCCAGCUAAGGUCCCAAAGUCAUGGUUAAGUGGGAAACGAUGUGGGAAGGCCCAGACAGCCAGGAUGUUGGCUUAGAAGCAGCCAUCAUUUAAAGAAAGCGUAAUAGCUCACUGGUCGAGUCGGCCUGCGCGGAAGAUGUAACGGGGCUAAACCAUGCACCGAAGCUGCGGCAGCGAACGUAUCACUUAAAGCGAUUCAGCGGGUUACGAUUGACGGAGCGAAGCGACGUCAAAGCGUAUACAAAGUCGAGUCGGUUUAAGGAUACGUUCGUUGGGUAGGGGAGCGUUCUGUAAGCCUGUGAAGGUGGCCUGUGAGGGUUGCUGGAGGUAUCAGAAGUGCGAAUGCUGACAUAAGUAACGAUAAAGCGGGUGAAAAGCCCGCUCGCCGGAAGACCAAGGGUUCCUGUCCAACGUUAAUCGGGGCAGGGUGAGUCGACCCCUAAGGCGAGGCCGAAAGGCGUAGUCGAUGGGAAACGGGUUAAUAUUCCCGUACUUGGUGUUACUGCGAAGGGGGGA